GGCCUGAGGGAGAAGAUGGUGUGGGGGCUGAUGCUGAGGCCAUUUGAGUUCAGCCAGGGUUUUGGGGAGCAGCAGGCCUGAGGGAGAAUGAGGAAAGGUGUGGGGAGGGCAGAGAGAUGAGGUGGUACAUGGGGCCUGGCAUGUGUGGGGAGAAGAGGUGUAGGGGAGAGGCCUGGUACAGGUGGGAACUUUCUGGGGGCAGUGUGGCAGAGGAUAGUGGGUUUGGGUCAGGCUGAGGACAUGGAGCCAAGUGGAGCUGCCUCUCUAGCCAGGAGCAGCUCAUCUCCAGGUGGUGACAAUCCCAGGAGGUGGUAGGUGACUGCUCUAGUGCAGCUGCCCUCACCAAAUGGGUAUAUUUCAGCCUGCCCUUGGCUGAGCUGUAUCUGGGUUGUGGCCAGAAGAGGAGAAAAAAAAUCUCAGGGGUUGAGCACAUGGUCUCCUAAACUGUACUCUUGGCUCUCAGUGGUGGGUGUUGAACUUGGUAGGUUGUUGAGCCUUUGUGUGCUUUGGUAUCUCCAUCUACGAAGCAGAGAUAACAGUUGGCUUCAUGCAGGGAUUAAUUAUCGCAUCUUGUAGUCACGUAUUUGUUUAUUUGUUUUUACUAUAGAUUACAGCUGGAGGAAUUCUAAACAGUCCACUUCUCCUUGUCAUGGUGUUUGAGCGCAUUGUGCUCCUGUCUGAACAGAGGAAAUCACUGAGACAUCUGCUGCUACUCAAACCGAAAGUGAAAUCCCUGGCUGUUGGUCUGGUUGCUGUCCUAAGGACAUGUGAAUGUUUGCUCCUGUUUUGCUCUGCAGCUCCUCACUGGUUCCACAGACCUGCUUUGUCACAGAGUGUCAGUAACUUUGUAGAAGUCUCUGCAUCCUCUGUUGUGCUUGGGAUCAGCUCUGGCAUCUGUCUGAAUGUAUGUACGUCCCUCCUGCACAGACUCUUACCUGCUGGAAAUGGACAGACACCAUUUGUGACUGAAUAUCCUGAGUCACCGAUUCCCAGCUGGCAUGUGCACUGCAGUUCCGUCUCUUCCUUUCCGACUGCACUCCCUAGAGGAGAUUGGAAACAACUGCAGUCGUCAGCUCCAGCGUGGUGUGUGCUCUUGCCGGGAUCCACACAAUUGGUGGACAACCCCUGUCUACGUCUAUGGGGUGAGCUGCAUGUGAUUUGUUACUGUAUGCCUGGUGUUUUCACACCGCAAAAUAGAACAAGUGUAGGAAUAUUUAAGAAAAAAAAUUCAGUUUCUUGAUAUUUACUAGAAAAAUGUCUACAUUGUGGAGAUGGUGAUAGGAUAUCUCCAUUAAAUUAUCAGUUGAGACAAGUGAUGAUGCCAGUAAUGCUCUCACAGGAGGAUUGUGAUAAUGGAUGAAAACUAAGAAUCUAGAGAGAUGAUGAAAGGUGAAGUAGUUACUCCCUACACUAGCAAAAUUCUGCUACCAGGAGCAUGGGUCCACCGUGCAGGAGCUGAAAGAUUAUCUGUUCUGUCAGACACUCUUGUGCUGUGUUUGUUACCCUGCUUGUGCAGUGUCCCAAAGAAAAGCUGCUUAAGCUCAGCAGGGGAAUUAUGCAACAUGUUGCUGUGUUAUUUCAUCUGACCAAAACAUUUUCACUGUGUAGUGCUUGCUGCUAGUCUUGUGCAUAGCACUGGGGGAAGCUGAAACACAAAACACUUCAUUGAGCUUUUUGAUCCAACAGGUCUUGACAUAUUGCUGCUGGACACAUCUCUGUGUCUGAUGUGAACUGUGACAGUUCCAUUCUGUCCUGCUAAAAUAACAGCAUAUUAAACAAUACUAUUCUGUCCAUGUCAUUUCCACCUAUUGACUAAAAAGUUAAAUUCUAAUUAAGCUAGUUUUAAUUUACAUGUCAUAAGAUAUUAGUUAAUGGUCAGCUGAUUUUCCUGGCAUGAAGAUUGCAAAGUGUAUAACACAGAUUAGUGCUUGUGUGGGACCAAAUGAGUUAAACCAGCUCUUUCUGCUGAAAUACCCAGUGAAAUACAGCGAUGGUCUGCAUAUCAAAUCUGUUUGCAAUAGGUCACCAGUGUUUGCCUGGUCACCAGUUCAUCCUGUUAGCAGGCACUGAUCCGGCUGUGGAGGAGAUAUGUGGCUUGUGCUGACUCAUGAAAGCAGGUGCAAGUUGCAUCAGUGAAGUAAGGAGUGGCUCACCUUAGAAGCAGGAUGUAGGUUUUAGUGUAAGAACUGUUAACAAAUCACCUUUAAAAGAACAUUGUGGGGAAAAAUACAGGGGAGACACUUUGAAAUCUGACUUGGUAAAUUCUUAUUCUUCUUGCUGCAUCAGGGGCUUGUUCCAAAUGGGGAAGGUGUGGAAUUGUUAACACCACUGAGGUGUCUUGGGAAAAUGUGCACUGUAGCUGCAGACAGCAGUAUCCUAAGGCACGUUUUCUGGGAGGGUUGGAUGACAGCUGUUCAUAAACUGUCAUAUAGUUACUCUCUUGUUCCUUCUUUAUAGAUCUGACUCAUUUCUCCCUGUCCUAAACACACCAAUUUGUUUGGUUUUUUUCUCUCCUCUCAUUUACCUCAUAUCUUAUAUCCUUAAAGAUUCCUUUUGUAUCUCUGGGCUUAAUUCUUUUAAAUCCAGUUCCUUUGACUUUUACUUUGCCUGUGCUUUGCACUUGCUACAGAGCCGUAGCAAACUUGGCAGCCAACCCUUGGGCACUCCAGAGAAAACAACUGUCUAGACCAGGCACCUUCUGCCUGAUGCCCUGGAUGUACCCCAGAGCUCCCAAGAAUUACUCUGUAUUCAGAACAACAUGUUGCUAUGCAAAUGAUUCCUUUCUGGGGUUCCUCUUACCUACACAGAGUUACAUGCCCCUGACUUCUCAGCAGGCACUAGUCUAAUGUUUAUUGAUCUUUUACAGAGGUCUGAUUCAAAGGAAGAUUGAUAAAAUCUUGUCCGGUGUUUUUGUGGACUCAUAAUUGCACCUGCCUCCUCCUAGGGAAUGAGGCAAGUGGGACUGAGGGAGCCCACAGAAUAAAUAGUGCCUUCUGCAGAACUGGAAAUAGUGCAAGCUGGAGGCCAUUACUGCAAAGGCCUUGCAGAGCCUCUGGUAUCCAGCAGAAUUCAGGAAGGUGUGUUACCCUUUUCUAAAAGGAAGGGAAAUCAAAUCUCGGUCUAAAGACUCCUAUGGCAUGGGAAGGGCACAGAAGCUUUAAUGCAAAGUUGCAAGCUGUGCCUGUUCCCAGUUAAAGCCCCUGUUGCCCUAGGCAAUCAUUGAGCCUGUCAGCAUCCUGCAGCUUUCAUACAGAGUUGUGACCAAAAUAGAUCCACAACUUUACAAUGUGGCUAAAAAUAGCUUGCAGGUCAGCUUUUUUCUCAAAGGUGGUGGUGACAUCAGGGGGAGAGCACUCUUGCUCCUGUUCAGUGCAGGUAGAACUGGAUAAACAAAGUGGGGACAGCAGCAGUUUAGCUGAAAAGCCUUGAGGAAAGAGAGGUGAUAAGGGAUGGGAAGGGACUAGGGAGAGAUGGGCUAAAGUGUCAAAGGCGUGGGCGGACUCACUGCUGCUGGCCAAGUUAGUGUGCUCAUACCCAGACAACUUCUCCCUGGGGUUUUGUUUCCAUGAUGUUUGAGAGUUAUCAGUCUGUUCCUGUCUCCUUGUGGCCCAUGUCAGGAUGUGUCACUGGAUGGGCUGGCCAGCCAAUGCAGCAUUUCUUGCUCCUCAUUUCCAGACAGUGAACACAGCCCAUGACAUCACCUCUGGCCAGCGGCAGAUCAGAGGCUAGGCCAUGGCAAUGUCAAGUGUGUUUUGCUGUGGCCAUUCAACCAGAGCUGAUCUUUUACAGUGCAAUUUGCAUGUGGAGAAAUCUGGAUGGCCCUCAGUUCUAGGGGGAUUUCGGUAUUUGUUCUUAGGCCAAAAAUAGGCUGUUUUUAUGGGGUCGAACUGUCUGUUUUUGUAGAGCAUUACAUUUUACCAAAGGAGCAAAGCUGCACACCAUGAUCCUCAGAGUUUUAGUCUCUGUUGUGUAUACUAAGUCUGGCCAUGGAGAUGAGUCUCAGCCAAGUCUGGAAGUUAAGUGCCUGAUUUGGAACGUUAUGGGAAUCUAAUGUAGGUUAUGUGAGGUUUGCCAUGCCUGCAGCUCCUGUGCUGCUGAGGUAAGUGUACUGCAGCAGGCUGUGCUAGCGAGAAUUUCCUUUGUGCUGCAGGUUUCAUGCCUGGUGCUUUCAUAGUGCUGAAAGAGGGGAAGGAGACAACAAAAAUGUGAAAAAUCGAGGCCAGGUCAUUACUGUCAGAUGAGGACAGAGUCCUGUAGCCAGUCAGAUGUGACAGAAUGCACUUGCUGAUGCUGCUACCAGGAAGCUUGAGAGAAAUGUGACUGAGUGAUAGCAUUGCGCAUGUGCCUUUGGAGGAAGGAGGCUAUGUGUGUGCUCUUGCAAUGCUUUUCUCUGCCCAGCAACAUCAUUGCUUCUUUUCCUGGUGUUCUGCUUAAGCAGCUGUUCUGCAUUUAUGAUACAAUCUAUUCUUCAUACAGGGCCAUCUUCACACUGAGCCACCUUCACUGUCACUAUCAGACGGACUGAUAAGGUUUGCUUUGAGUAAGCACUAUAAAUAGGGCAAAAGCACGAUAGUUACUCUUCUCUUAAAGUACUGUGAGUCUUGUAGGACCAGCCUCUGUCCCCACCUAUUUAAAAUGGCUCCUGUUGCCUCACAAGGGGGAGACUUCAGCCAAAUACAUCUCCAUAUUGACAAGUAUAGAGAGAAUUAUGCGCAUGAUCAGCUUGCUGAGAAUUUCAUUUGAUGUGCAGCUGGAAGUCAGCUGCCAAUAGAAAAGGGAGCUCUGCAUCCCUACUUGUGUGCUUCUAGUGCAUUUAGAUGCUACAGGCCACAUUAAUUGCAGACUGCAGUUAGAACAGGUUAUAGGUGAAAUCAACUCAGUACCAUCAUCAUGACCAGUUAGUACAGUCAUUUCUGAGCACUGCAGUUUCUCACCACAGCCUGCUUCUUCCCUUCAGUGAGAGGUGUUCCUUGGUCUGCCCUGCCCAGCUUGUAAAUGUAGCUCAUCAGUCUCUGCUUCUUUGCAAAUGAGCUGCGUAGGUAAUGGGAGGAGGAGGAGGAGGCAGCAGCACUGCAACCUGCCUAUCCCCAGCCGGUCAUAAAGGCUCCAUGCUCCUUAGGCUUUCUGAAGUUAUUUGCCCCAUGAAUUGUGUGGGUAUAAAACUUAGUUGUUUCCUUAAAUGCUCUACCUUUUGCACCAGGUCACUUCCCAGUGGGGAAAACAAGCUGUUGAUGUAGUAGGCACUCAGCUUGUCGUUUGGAUAAGAUCCAGAGGCGAUUAGUUUGGGUGCAGCAGUAUGCUAACACAGGCAGAAUGGACCCAGACUGGCCCCUGUCGAGACUGGGGCUAUCUCCUCACUCUCCCCACCUCUGUCCACGGCCCCUGGCUCAGUGUGAGCACCGGUCCCUGUCCCUCUCCCUGCCUGCACUGGCACACCCAUAGGGAAACAGAAUUUGCACCCCAUGCUGCUUGCCCGUGUCCUGAUCGGUACCAACCCUCCCAAAGCAAACAGUGAUUUGCAUGUCUGCUCUGACUCAGCUGUGCUGAAGGCAGGAAUCAGUAAUAAAUCCGGUUCAGUAAAGUCCAUAGGUAAGGAACAGCCUUCUAUAGCAGAUACUGAGGCAUUUUAAAGGAACUUGACUCUGUCCCAGGAAGUGCAGUGAAGUGAGCAAUGCUGCAUUGGGCAAGAAAACCUACCCAGGAACCAUUAAUCUCUCAACAUCUGUAGCCCUGUGGUUGUAAGCACUGGGGGUUGUCUUCCCCUGCCUGCAAUUACUAGCUAGCAACUGGGAAUUUAAAGGAAUCUGGGCUAUCUUUAGGAAGCAAGUACCUACUCUUUGCCUCCUCUCAGGAAGCAAGGUCCUUCAUUACAGCCUGUCAUGGCAAGGGGCUUGCAGAUAAGGAGGAAGGGCAGGAAACCUGCUGGGCUUUGCUUCUUUAGUAGCUCUAAAUAUUUUCCAUAGUCUUAGCACUGUGAGUCAGCAUUUCUAGAGCCUUGACUUGUUUGCAGCAGCAAUCAGUGAGAUGGUAUAAGGUAAGUGGGGUGUGGAGGUAUGUUUGUGUCUAAAAUGAGAAAACCUUUGCCCAGGCACAAGUGGAGAAGUUACCAACUGUAUUUUCCAUUUGUGACUAACAGGAAGCAAAGGAAUGGAUACCCUUAAAGAGUAACUGCUGUGGAGCCAUUUCCAGGGUAAGGAAUUUCCUAGUGUGAGUAAGGGAAUUGAACUUCACAAAACUGUAAACAUCAUGUUUCAUAGUUCACUUGAUACAUAUAUAUAUAUAUAUAUAUCUACAUAUUUAAAAAAAAAGACUGCAAAUACUUAGGAUUAUCAGUAUAGUGGGAUAAAGGUAACGCUUCCCAUCUGAAGUGGUAUGGAUUCAUUUUGCAUUGGCCUGGCCAGACAGGCUGUGGGGCAGAAAGACCCCCAGAAGUGUAGAGGUAACAAAUCAGUCACUGAAGUUUUCAUUCAGAGCCCAUACCUACCCCGGAAUAAAGAACAUCAGCCGUGGGGUAUCUUCUGUCACCACAUGCAAGCUUUUUCCCUAUGCCUGACUGGUCAGCCUGGCUGGAUCUAAUGGCAAAGGGAGGUGACAUCAAAACCAAGAUAUUUUAGAUCUGCAACCUCAGUUCUGCAAAAGUGUUUAUUUUGAAAAUUCUAGUUUCCAUAGCAAUGUAGUGCUGUUCUCUCUCAUCUUUCUCCCAUUAACCCAGUCUUAGCAGCCAUUAGAAAAUUAUCAGUGAGGCAAACCUUAGCAUUUUUUAAGAUUAAGUGAUUUUAUAUGUGUUGGUUCCUUAGUGAAUCAGAGGCAUUUAGUCAAGGAUUGACUCACAUCCUUUCCUGGGGCUCACAUGAGGUCUAUUGCAGUGAAAAGAUGAUAAUGAAGAGUGAAUAUUAUUAAUUGAACUUGAUGAAUGAAUUAGUAGUGAGGGGGUCUUAUGUCUGGAAUUCUGGUUCAGUUAUAUGUCUUUAGAUUUUACUUGGGUUCCACUAUAGCUUCAUUAGGACAUCAUAUUUUUGUUUCAUACAUGUAGUAAAUAAACCCUUUUGUAAGGGUUGCUGUGUACUGCUGUUCCACUGCUUUUCUCCACCCCAGAGGUGACUUUUGGACACAGUUCCCCUUCCCAUUGUCAACAGAGCCAGUGCUUGUGGCUCAUUCCUUCAUUCUUCUUUUCAAUACCUACAAAAAAUUCAGUUAAGAAAACAAGGCAAUAUCUUUUUUUAUUUUGUUUUGUUUGUUUGCUGGUUGUUGUUGUGUUUUUUUUUUUCCUGGUGCAUCUGGCCUUUCCUGGCCAAGGAACUAUUAGUUUUGCCAGAACAGUUAUGCAGGUUGGAAUGUAAAAAUCCCAGACUUAACCCUGCAGCAGUAAUGGCAUGCAAAAAACCAAGAUGUGGAGAUGAUUUAUUCUGAUGGUGUACCUUGCCUUUUAAGGAGAUGAUUUAGUGAGUUCUUUUGCCUAUAUGAACUGUAUCUCCACCUGGGGAGCUAUGCCAGAAUAGCUGUUCCAUAAACCCUUUGCUGUGAACAACAGCCUUUGUCCUGGAAUUCAGUCCUCAUGAGUAGGUAGGUACAGAAACUGUGGGAGAACGAGAGUGGCACUGUGGACCAGAUUCCAAGAUAAGGAAGUAGGGCUAAAUACAGGCAAGGGUUAGCCUUUGACUCCUGCAGUCCUCACUUAGUAACAAAAAUACCUGAACUGUAUAAAAUAGAACGCAGAUCUAGUAAGUUGAGGAUGCAGGAGCUCUUCUGUGGAAUCUGGAUGUUAACAGGCAUCUGCUGCACAGUGCCCAUUGCUUGCACUCCCUGUCAGUCUGACUUCCUCCCCAAAUAGAGCCAUCAUCUGUCUUGUUUGUAUUCAGUCCAUGAGUUCUUCAGAGGAGAUGGGUUUUCAAAAGUAAGUUCUUCACUCUGCUUCUAUUUGGGCUCCCCCAGGCCCUACAUAUCUGGCAGAAAUAGCCUCUUUAAUCCCAAGAGGUAUAAGCUCACUUGUGCUCCAAAGAAUAGUAAUCCUAACAAAACCUCUAUUUUAGAUGUCAAAUAUUUACUUUUAGCUGAAUUAUGCCCAUUCAUUGAGAAAACUAAUAAUACUUUGCUCUUCACAGCUCUUCACAAUGUAGCUUAUCAGUGAAUCCUGAUAUAUACUUCAUGCAAAACAUUAAAAGGUGGUUGCUUAUCUUUUCAUUUACCUUUUUUCCCCCCCUUCAUGUUCCUGCAUUCCUAUGUUUUGAGAUAAGGUGAACAAAAGUUCUCCCAACUGCUAUCUCUAAGCUAUGCAUUCUGCAAUACCUUCACUGUGUUCCUUCUGAUUCACUCCCUCCAAGGUGAAUGGUUCCAGUCUUUUUAAAUUUCCUUCAGACAAGGGCUCUUCCCAAUCCCUGAUCUUGUAGUCAGCCAUCAUUGCCCUGUGUCACAUAAUGAAGCAGCAGUCACAGUAAUAACUCAAACAAUAACCCCUCCAGAUCUGGUGCUCUGUCAGUGCUGAACAUUGUUACAUUAGAGAUCCCGAGUGAAACACAAGCAGAGGAGUCUCCAUGUAUCAAAUGCAGACAUACCCAACCCACAUUUAAAAACUAAUAUUUUUUUUUAAAAAUGUCCUGUUUCAAAAUACCUGCUUGGUAUCCAAAUGAAAUGAGAAUGAAAUGUGACUAGCACCCUUGUGACUGUUGUGUUGUAUAACAAGAUAAAAAGUGCUUGGGAUUUGUGGAUUGAGCUUUUUUUCAUUUGUCUUCCAGAGGUCAAAGUCCACUGCAAGCAGUGACUGAUACAGUUCCCUGUGUAAGUCAGGCUGGACUGCCUGUGCCUCAGGUUCUAACAGCAGGGGAGUUUGUGCAAGAGCACCUUGGUAGGUGUUUGUGUGGAUUUCUCUGUGGUCCCUGUGAUGAUCCUAGGAAGCAGGAGGAGAUCCAGAAUUGUCUAAAAGCCAGGAAUCUUUGAAAUCCCAGAGAAGUAAUAAUGAGCGAUGUGGCUGAACCUGCUAGCCUGCUUCCCAUUCUGCUUCUUGUAUGUGUCCAAGAAGCUGCCUCCAGUUGAUACAAUUGCACCCUAGUAAACAAUUUUGCAUGCAGCUAUGGGCAGCAGAUGUUACUCAUGCCUGUGUGAACACUUCAGUGUUUUUACAACAGGGAUGAUUGAGUCCUGUUAGACAAUGGAUGUACCCACCAGAAGUCCCACUGGUUACAGCCAUUCUGUUACAGCUUGCUCAAAACACUUUGAAGGAUGGUCACGCCAUCCUUCUUUGGCCACUCAAGGGGAUUGACUCACAAAUAUGAGCAAAAUAAAAUUAGAUGGCUUAAGUGGCUGCAACCCCAGCUGUGUCCCCACUGCCCAAUUCCCAGAAGGUCAUCCCUGUAGCCAGGCUGGCUGUGGAAGGCAACUCCUGAGCUGCUGUAGUGACAGCCCAUUCUUCAGGGUGUUAAUAUUUGUCUGGCUCCUCUGUGAAACAGUUUAGGAUGCUUAACCAGAAUAAAAAUGUGCACUUUAUCAUCUGAAGAAUUAUUUUUUAGUUUAAUUUCUCAAAUGGGCUCUGAGAAGUAGCAGUGUUGCUGUGAGGGCAGGGCAGAGAGAUGACCUUCCCUUUUGGGAGCAGCCAUUACGUCAGUUUUGCUGCCUCACAAAACUAUACCCUGUGGUUAUUUUUGGUGCUAGACUGCCUUAAUUUUCUGGAGAGUGAAUGAAGGAUUAGCAUAGUAUGCUUAUGACAUUUGGAAACUAAGGUUUCAGGAAAAAAAAAAUCAUAAUUCAGCGUGUGCUAAAAUGGAAAUGCUUAAAUUGCUAGGGAUGGGAAAGAUGAGUAAAACAUGAUUUUUUUAAUAAUUUUUACAAUUCAGCUAGGGGGUUAAAUCCUUUUUUAAUUUGUUGGGUUUUGCUGCUUUUUAAGACCUCUAACCCAAUGCCUACUAUCCAGCUGCCUCUAGAGAGAGAAGUCUUUAAAGAGACCAGCUUUGUACCUAUAAAUAAUGUACACAGCAGUGUACAAAAAUGGAGUCAAGGAGAAGCUCCUCCUUACCUGAAUGUAACUGCAGCAGCUCUGUGAGAAUAGCUGUGGUCAGGCUGUGAGCAGCACUCAUACCCUGUCAUCCAUCUUGGCUAAACUGCUUCUAAUUCUGAGAUUCCAUCACUUGAAUAUCAACUGGUAAAUCCCAACUGCCUUGUACUCAAACACAUUAGAUGCCAGCAGCCAAACGUGGCAAGGUUUGAACAGUGUGGUUAUAAUCCUACUUGGAACUAAAGGUCUGCUAGAGUGCUUUGUUAAGUUGGAUGUGUUGGAACAUGGAGAAUUUCUCAACUCUGAAACCCUCCUAUAAAUGAAAACACUGUGGCAAAAAAAUGUAAAUACAUGCCACACAUAUUUUGUGUCAGAGCCCUUCCCAAUAUCUAUAAAUAUGGUAAUUUUGGUGUUUCCCAGUUUUGAGUUUUAAACAGGAGACAGACACAUGAAAUAUUACAAAGCAAGCAUUUUAUUUUUUUCAUGGAUUAAUUUUAUAAUUUCACUUUUAACUUACCUGAAAACAAUUAAUGGAAACUAAAUGUAGUGUUUUAAAGAGGAUUCCCUUUGAAAGGAAAUAAUUUGUUCUUGAAAAAAUAACUUCAAUAGCUUCUCAGUUUAACUGCAUUUUAAUAUGAAUACAAAACUCAUCCCAGGUCAGACUCUUCAGGAAAACUUUCUCAUGAUUCCUGUAGCAGUUGAUUCAUUCCUUGCUGCCUUAAUUUUGCAGUUUUAAAUGGCAGGUUCUCUGCAAAGCCAUCCACUUCAAAGCUUCAUAAAACAGAGCUUUGAAUAAAUUACUGAGUUAGAAAUUACACUGGUUGUGCCCAGCUUUGUGCCUGGAUGUGGGAAUACUUGGCACUGGGUGUGGAAUUCCAAGGAAAAUUGCCUCUUUGCUGGCUUGCCAAAGAGCAAUAAGAAGGAAAACUGCUGCAGAUGAGCAGACACGGAAAUCUCCAGCUUCCCUUUCCAGAGAACACAUCCUGAAGAACUGCUGAAUAUUAAUAUUAUAACUGGUGCAACACUGGGCAAACAGUGGGAUUAACAGGAACUCCUACUUCUGGAGGGGACGUGUCCCACCUGGUCACGGGGCAGCACUGCCUGCUGGAAUUACUCUUACCUUUAAAAUGCAUCCCUGAGGAUGCAAUGUGGAAUCAGUGGGAAGUGGGGAAGGCCCACCAUGUGUGGACACACCAUGUUGGGGUGUGGGAUGCCCAUGCUUCAUGAGGCCCAGGCUGUAUUAUUUGGGAUUUUUUUUCUCUCUUUUGCAAGCUUUAGAUAAUAUAAUACUGAUAACAAGAUACUUCUAAGCAGUGCCAUAGUUGUUUUGUCUUAGACAGCCCACCUUCCUCUGUAUUCAGAUUUCUGGUCUGUGUGUGGAGAUGAUUUGUCUAUAAUUGUUUGCUUUCUUCAGAGUCUUUUGAAGUUUAAAUCUUCAAGCCAGCUCCCUAUAUUAAAAAUAAAUUCUUCCAAGCCACCAAUAAAAUGUCAGCUGUGAUUAAA